rnacentral:lncRNA from 1 species
CACCACGCCCAGCUAAUUUUUUGUAUUUUUAGUAGAGAUGGGGUUUCACCAUGUUAGCCAGGAUGGUCUCCAUGUCCUGACCUCGUGAUCUGCCCGCCUCGGCCUCCCAAAGUGCUGGGAUUACAGGCGUGAGCCACUGCGCCCGGCCUGCAGAUUUUUUCUUUACUUCAUUUAUUUAUUUACUUAUUUUAAGAGACAGGGUCUCACUCUAUUACCCAGGCUGGUCUUGAACUCCUGGGCUCAACAGAUCUUCCUGCCUUGGCCUCCCAGUGGGUGAGCCGGUGGACCUGGCCAUCUUCAAAAAUUGAAAUCACUGAAAGGCACCUGGUCAUCAUUUUCUUGUCAAACUUUUCAAUCAGAGCAAGUAAUCUGUGGUUGCCCAGCCUUCAGAUUAGUAGACUCGAGUGGAGACCAGGCCAUAUUCCAGGGAGCCACCUCAGGCCUUUUGACCUGGAACGCACAGGUGAUUACCACAGCCCAGGGUGAUAAAGAACUCAUUCCUAUGACUUGAAAGGGUGAUUUUAAUGUGUGCUGGACAUUGCCCUAAGUAUUUACGCACAUUAUCUCACUUAGCUCUUUACCAGUGAAUGAGGUACCUAUUAGCAGCCUCCUUCCACAAAUACAUUGAAGUUGAGUGAGAUUAGAUAAAUUGCUCACCUGUCUUAGCAAAGGCUUUCUGGUAUGAGUUACAGAAACGAACUUCAGCUGAAUCUUUUGCAAAGAAAAAGAAUAUGGGACCCGGGGCGUGGCUCACGCCUAUAAUCCCAGCACUUUGGAAGGCAAAGGCAGGCGGGUCACCUGAGGUCAGGAGUUUGAGAUCAACCAGGCCAACAUGGUGAAAUCCUGUCUCUACUAAAAAUACAAAAAUUAGCCAGGCGUGGUGAUGGGCACCUGUAGUCCCAGCUACUCAGGAAGCUGAGGCAGGAGAAUUGCUUGAACCCGGUAGGUGGAGGUUGCAGUGAGCUGAGAUCACGCCAUUGCACUCCAGCCUGGGCGACAGAGCGAGACUCCGUCUCAACAUAAAUUAAUAACAAAUAAGAAAAAGAAUACAGGUGGGCAGCCAAAGUUACUUGUAGGCUCUCAGGAUAUCUCGCUGAAUCCAGGGGCUGAUUUGCUACGAGACAGAGGAAGGUGCUGAACCUGGCUCAGGAGACAGCUGGAAACUCAGGAAAUCAACCAUCAAGCCUCCCAGAUGGUAUCAAGGAACUGAAACUUACCAGAUCACUGCAUUUGGACAAUGAGAUGCAGAACCCCUCAUCUGUCAUAAUGGCCUAACAGACCACCUGCUGCCUGUUGAUCAACUCCUCUUCCUUACCCCUCCCUAAUUCCUGUUUUACUGCAUGUAGUUACAUUUCUUCCUUCCUAUAUAAACCUCUAAUUUUAGUUGGUCAGGGAGACAAAUUUGAAACUGAUCUCCCAUCUCCUUGGCUGGAGCACCCAAUUAAAGCCUUCUUCCCUGGCACUACUGAUUGGCUUUCUGUGCAGCAAGCGGCAGGACCUACACCAAACCCCUGGCAUUUUGGCAACAGCACUGGUCAUGCUAGGGAAAAAGUUCAAGAUCUCAACUUCCAAGACCCAGGGAAGCCUCUCACAAUUUCUAAAGGGCAGGGCAGAAGAGAUCUUUGAAAGUGAAUCUGAAUGAGAAUAAAAGUGCAGUUUCACUUUAAAUUUUCCAAAAAGCUUAUUAAAUUGGUAUUUUCAUAUGCUUUUGAAAACUUUAUUUAUUUAUUUAUUUAGAGACAGAGUCUCACUCUGUCACCUAGGUUGGAGUGCAGUGGCGUGCUCUCGUCUCACUGCAACCUCUGCCUUUCAGGCUCAAGCGAUUCUCCUGCCUCAGCCUCCUGAGUAGCUGGGAUUACAGGUGGCACCACCACCAUGCCCAGCUAAUUUUUGUAUUUUUUUUUUUUUUUGAGACAGAUUUCGCUAGUUUCGCCCUUGUUGCCCAGGCUGGAGUGCGAUGGUGCAAACUUGGCUCACUGCAACCUCCACCUCCCUGGUUCAAGUGAUUCUCCUGCCUCAGCCUCCCAAGUACGUGGGAUUACAGGUGCCCACCACCACAUCCAGCUGAUUUUUUGUGUUUUAGUGGAUAUGGGGUUUCACCAUGUUGGCGAGGCUGGUCUUGAACUCCUGUCCUCAAGUGAUCCACCAGCCUUGGCAUCCCAGAAGGAUGGGAUUAUAGGCAUGAGCCACUGCGCCUGGCCUAAUUUUUAUAUUUUCAGUAGAGAUGAGGUUUCACCACAUUGGCCAGGCUGGUCUCGAACUCCUGACCUCAGGUGAUCCGCCUACCUCUGCCUCCCAAAGUGCUGGGAUUGCAGGCAUGAGCUACCGUGACUGGCUGAAAACUUUAUUUCAAAACUAAUCAUGCUGGUUGUAAUAUGCUUGUGUAGGUUACAUGUAUAUUUUUCCACAGAUUUUUCUAUGCUCUUUCAACCGUAUAUACACCUGUACACACAUAUUUAGGGUUUUUCCUCCAAAAAAGUGACAAAAAUGGGAUCACGCCAUAAUACAUUCCUCCAUAGUUUUAUUCCCUCUUCCAUCUCUACCCCUCCUCCACUUAUUACCAUGGACAUCCCUGUAGGACAUACGGGAAGAUGUCUCAUUUGUUAAAAUAUACUUAAUAUUCCACAAUAGGCUGGGUGCAGUUGCCCACACCUGUAAUCCCAGCACUUUUGGGAGGCUGAGAUGGGCCGGAUCACCUGAGGUCAGGAGUUCAAAACCAGCCUGGCCAAAAUAGGGAUACCCUGUCUUUACUAAAAGUACAAAAAUUAGCCAGGCAUGGUGAUGCGUGCCUGUAGUCCCUGCUAUUCAGGAGCUGAGGCAGGAAAAUCACUUGAAUCCGGGAGUUGGAGGUGGCAGUGAGCUGAGAUUGCACUACUGCACUCCAACCUGGGCAACAGGGCGAGACUCCAUCUCAAAAAAAAAAAAAAAAAAAAAAAAAAAUCCACAAUAAGUAGAUGUUACAAUUCAUUUAACUAUAGGUUGAGUAUCCCUAAUCUGAAAAAAACCCCAAAUUAGAAACAUAAUGCUCAAAGGAAAUGGUCCCUGAGCAUUUUGAUUUUUGAAUUUUUGAAUUAGGCAUGAAAAUAUGCCAAAAUCUGAAAAAAUAUCUGAAAUUUUAAAUACUUAUUUCCCAAGCAUUUGGAAUAAGUGAUACUCAGCCUAUAUUUGCUAUUGAUGGCCAUUUUCAGUUUUUACUAAUACAAGCAGAAAAUAACAUUAGAAUUUAGGUAAUUUUAUUUCUGGCAGAUAGAUGCCUAAAGAGCAAUCAAUUGCUGUAUCAAAUGGUGCACAUGGCCAGGUACAGUGGUUCAUGCCUAUAAUCUCAGGGCUUUGGGAGGUCGGGGUGGUAGGAUUGCUUGAGGCCAGGAGUUUGAGACCAGCCUGAGCAACAUAGCAAGGCUCUGUAUCUACGAAAAAUAAAAAAAAAUUAGCCGGGCAUGGUGGUGCCUGCCUGUCUUCCCAGGUACUCAGGAGGCUGAGGUGGGAGGAUCACUUGAGCCAGGGAGGUUGAGGCUGUAGUGAGCAGUGAUCUUGCUACUGCACUCCAGCCUGGGCGACAGAGCAAGACCCUCCUCCUGCAACAACAACAACAAAAAAAAGUGCACAUAUUUAAAAAUUUUAAGAUACCACCAGGCCAGGUGCAGUGGCUCAUGCCGUAAUCCCAGCACUUUGGGAGGCUGAGGCAGGUGGAUCUCCUGAGGUCAAGAGUUUGAGACCUGGCCAGGCAUGGUGGCUCACUCUUGUAAUCCCAGCACUUUGGGAGGCUGAGGCAGGCGGAUCAUGAGGUCAGGAGUUCGAGACCAGCCUGGUCAACACAGUGAAACCCCGUCUCUACUAAAAAUAUAAAAAUUAGCUGGGCAUGGAGGCGGGUGCCUGUAAUCCCAGCUACUGGGGAGGCUGAGGCAUGAGAAUUGCUUGAACCUGGGAGGUGGAGGUUGCAAUGAGCCGAGAUCACGCCACUGCACUCCAGCCUGGGUGACAGAGCUAGACUUCAUUUCAAAAAAACAAAACAAAACAAAAAAACAGAGUUUGAGACCAGCCUGGCCAACAUGGUGAAACCUCGUCUCUACUAAAAAUACAAAAAAAAAAAAAAAUUAUCUGGGCGUGGUGGCAUGCACCUGUAAUCCCAGCUACUUGGAGAGGCUGAGGCAGGAGAAUCGCUUGAACCCAGGAAGCAGAGUUUGCAGUGAGCCAAGAUCGUGCCACUGUACUCCAGCCUAGGCAACAAAGGGAGACUCCAUCACAAAAAAAGAUACCACCAAAUUACUUUCUUGAAAGGUUAGAGCCAGUUAUGCUUCUAUCAGUAAAUGCAUGAACGUGCCUGUUCCUUCACUUCCUUGCCAAUAUCACAAUUAAUCUCUUACCUUUUCUUCAAUAUGAUGGGUAGAAAAUGAUUUCUCAUUGUUUAGCAUUUCUCUGAGAGAAGCUGAAUAUCCUAUUUUGCAUUUAAUUUUAAAUUAAUGUGUCAAUUUUCCCCAUGCUUAGGGGUGAAUAUUAGACCUUUUUCUUGGUUGGUCAUAACUUAUUGGCAUUUUACCUGUCUUACCUGUUGCACAUAUUUUCUCCUAGCCAUAAUUUUUUUUUUUUUUUUUUUUUUUUUUUUGAGACAGAGUCUUAUUCUCUGUCGCCUAGGCUGGAGUGCAAUGGCACAAUGUCAGCUCACUGCAUCCUCCGCUUCCUGGGCUCAAGAGAUUCUUCUGCCUCAGCUUCCUGAGUAGCUGGGAUUACAGGCGCGUGCCACCAUGCUCAGAUAAUUUUUUUUUUUUUUGUAUUUUUAGUAGAGACAGGGUUUUACCAUGUUGCCCAGGCUGGUAUUGAACUCCUGACUUAAAGUGAUCCACCAGCUUUGGCCUCCCAAAGUGCUGGGAUUACAGGCAUGAGCCACUGUGCCUAGCUGAGCCAUAAUAUCUUUAAACUUUUUUCUUGAGACAGGGUCUCACUGUGUUGCCUAGGCUGAGUGCAGUGGCCUGAUCAUGGUUCACUGCAUCCUCAACCUCUCAGGCUCAAGCAAUCCUCCUACCUCAGCCUUUCUAGUAGCUGGGACUA